GAUGAACGCUGGCGGCGUGCCUAAUACAUGCAAGUCGAGCGAACAGACGAGGAGCUUGCUCCUUUGACGUUAGCGGCGGACGGGUGAGUAACACGUAGGUAACCUACCUAUAAGACUGGGAUAACUUCGGGAAACCGGAGCUAAUACCGGAUAAUAUUUCGAACCGCAUGGUUCGAUAGUGAAAGAUGGCUUUGCUAUCACUUAUAGAUGGACCUGCGCCGUAUUAGCUAGUUGGUAAGGUAACGGCUUACCAAGGCAACGAUACGUAGCCGACCUGAGAGGGUGAUCGGCCACACUGGAACUGAGACACGGUCCAGACUCCUACGGGAGGCAGCAGUAGGGAAUCUUCCGCAAUGGGCGAAAGCAUGACGGAGCAACGCCGCGUGAGUGAUGAAGGUCUUCGGAUCGUAAAACUCUGUUAUUAGGGAAGAACAAACGUGUAAGUAACUGUGCACGUCUUGACGGUACCUAAUCAGAAAGCCACGGCUAACUACGUG
rnacentral:rRNA from 1 species